rnacentral:rRNA from 1 species
GACGAACGCUGGCGGCGUGCUUAACACAUGCAAGUCGAACGGAAAGGCCCUGCUUUUGUGGGGUGCUCGAGUGGCGAACGGGUGAGUAACACGUGAGUAACCUGCCCUUGACUUUGGGAUAACUUCAGGAAACUGGGGCUAAUACCGGAUAGGAGCUCCUGCUGCAUGGUGGGGGUUGGAAAGUUUCGGCGGUUGGGGAUGGACUCGCGGCUUAUCAGCUUGUUGGUGGGGUAGUGGCUUACCAAGGCUUUGACGGGUAGCCGGCCUGAGAGGGUGACCGGCCACAUUGGGACUGGGAUGCGGCCCAGACUGCUACGGGAGGCAGCAGUGGGGAAUAUUGGACGAUGGGCGGAAGCCUGAAGCAGCAACGCCGCGUGCGGGAGGACGGCCGUCGGGUUGUAAACCGCGUUCGCCUGUGACGAAGCGUGAGUGACGGUAAUGGGUAAAGAAGCAACGGCUAACUACGUG